GCGGGAAUAGCUCAGUCGGUAGAGCGCAACCUUGCCAAGGUUGAGGUCGCGAGUUCGAGCCUCGUUUCCCGCUCCA
rnacentral:tRNA from 1 species